UGCCAAGGUGUGGGAUGGAUAAGAAAAGAAGGAAUAAUGGUAAAUGAGAAUUCAUUUCAUUUUUGUAUUUCGUCUUACAUUUACCCUUAAAAUACGCUUAAAGGUUAGGAGGAUGGGAAAUAUACACUAAGUGAUUAGGCAACAGGAAAAUACAUUAUCAACAUCAAACAAUAUCAAAAUAUAUUACAAACGGUAUAUAGUUGAAACAACAAUGAGGCAUCUGCAUGAUGCUUUCAAGUUUAUGGAGCAUGUUUUCCCCCAUCAAUCAUUUCAAUUGUUUGCUCGACUAUAUGAUAAGGAUACCAGUUCAGAGAGGAAAGAACAAGCUGCUUAAGCCACAUUUUGUGAACCUGAGCUUGAUCCAAUAACUGACACCAACCAUUGUGCUCUUGCUACCAUCCAAAGCUGCCUUGUAUAAAGGUCAACAAAGUUAUGGCUAAGGGACUACAGAAAGCAGCCUGGGUGAUUGGAUCUGAACCUGCAGGGAUAGGCAGGAGCUGGAUGAGAAAGAACUUAAGUUGUAGAAGAGCAAGAACAGAGAGGUCUGGAGUUAAGAGCAAUAGAGAGCAAGCCCCGCUGAGGAGAGAAUAUUCACAGUCAGAGGGAGAUGACUUCACAAAUAAGAGACUUAGUGAGGACCUUUAGGAUGAAGGUUCCAGAAUGAAGAGUAUGGCUUGACUUGACUCACAGAAGAGAACCAUGAGAGAUUCUAAAACAGAAUGCAAGCCAUGUUUCAGGAAGACUAACCUGGGGAUGGGGAGCACAGGAGGUACAGGGGCAGGAGAAGAAAGCGAGACAGAAUGAAGGCAAAGGAACCAGCUGGAGGUAAACAAGAUUGGAAGUAAUCAAAGACACCUGACAGUAAUCAAAGCCUCCUUAUUGUAAGGGCUCCAUUGCCUUCCUGAUCAUGAACUGCCAACUCUCUCACAAAAUAUUGGCAGAGAAACAUUAUAAACAGGAAGGAAGAAGGAACUUUGUUUCAGAAGCUACAGUAAAGCAUCGGCCUUUCCAAAUGGUUCAGAGCCACUGUGUACAGCUCCGUCUGCUGUUAAAAAUCUGUUUUCAGGAGAUUAGACACCACCACACACACGUACCUUCAAUUACUAGAGAGUCAUAAUAAUGGUUUUAUUUCCUUUUAACUGCCCACUAUUAGACCCACGAGAGAGGAGGGGAGAGCGAGAGAGAAAAAGGGUAGGAGAGGGACUUGACAGAAGGGAAAAUAAGUCCCUUCCAGGUAGACAAGCUUCAAGUUAAUGAAGUGUUCCUCUAGCAAGAUUCUCAACAAGAUGUGAGACAUUCCUCUGUCCCUGGGGGGUCCCACCAUGGAAACUCGGGUUUGUAAAAAGCCCCCUUUAAAUGUGCCUUUCAGAACUGAAUAUACCAGAUGCGAUGGAGUGGGGCCGACCCAGAUUUAAGUGGGCUGCGGCCUUCCUUUCAUCCCUGAUGAGGAUGGCAGGCUGUACUUCAACUCCACCUUGACCUCAGGCUAAGACUCAAGUCCAGUCAACGAAGUCUAGUGUCGAUCAGUACUCACCCACACACCAUGGGGUAGAAUCACAAAUACCCUCUCCUACCAAAUCUGAUACCCAACUGCCUUCCCCACUAUGCUUUUGAACAAACCCUUCAUUCCAGGUAGGCCAGCCUACCCACUUUCUGUACGAUUUUUGUAUUUUGAACUUUUUAUUUGGAACAUAAUUCUUAACACAUACAAAGUAUCAAAAAUUGUUUAAGGAAGCCCCAAUGUAUCCUUCACUCAGCUUCAGCAAUUAUCAACUCCUAUCACACCCAUGCCCAGGAUUAUUUUGAGUCCUCGUGGAUAUAUCAUUUCAUCCACAAUUAUUUCAGUAUCGCAGCCAUUCUUCCCUGCACACCGCUGCUUAGACAGUUCCUCUUCCCAUCCCCAUCUUUCCUAAUUCUAUGUCAUCCUGCAAGGCUCAGCUCAGGUCUAAACUCCUACGUUGUUUCCACUGAACUUAUCACUUAGUCAUGUCACGUUGGGACAUCUCUUUUGUUGCUAUUUUUUGUGUUCCUUACCCCUUAAAUUGUUCACUUACAACAAUGUCCUUAGCCUGGAAAGCAGGAAACCUCUCUCAGCAUACAUAUACAGCAAUAACAGAUGCUUAGAAGGGACAGAACUAAAUAAGAGCAUUAAAUUUGGUGGCGCAGUUUUACACAGUAUAUUGACAUGAUUCCUUUUACGAGAAAUGUCUCAUAGCAGACCAGGGUAUGUCGACACAGUAUGACAAGGCAAAAAUAACACUGGGUGUGGAGUUAAAAGGCCUGCGUUCUUGUCCCCACCCUUCUGUUUUGUCCAUUAUUUGGGGUCUGAGGGACUUUCAAGCCCACCCAUAAAAUAGGAAUUAACUGCAGCCAUCCUUCCUCUUUCCCUUACAGGACUGUCAGAACUGAAUGCAGUUACACAUGUAAAAGUGGGUUUGUAAUUGAUAGAGCAUGUUAAUACACAUCAUUAUCGGCAAAUGAGGAAUAUUUGGUCAUAUGACUUGAAACCAAGGAAAAUUACUGCUUUAGAUCUGGAAUGUAGGAGGGAACAUUAAGUCCUUAACAGGGAAAAUGGGAAUGUGAUAGAUCAGGUGGGAUCAGGUGGGAUUUAGAAUGAACAAAAUUAACUCUGAGAGGAAUAGAAAAGCAUAUCUUUCCUUCUGAGACUUGAAAAACCAUGGCCUUGCAAUUAAAACAAAUUGACGGAGCCCUAAAAAGAAAUUGCAAAGGAAGCAAGAUAUGUUGUCAGCUAUUUAAAAAGAAUCCUGUUACAUGAAAUAAUUAAAUGGAAAGGCAAAAUUCAUCUGAUUCCCUCCAAAAAAACUACAGAAUUAUCCAACAAAGUCAUUGUCAUUCUAAGUUUAUGCUCUUCUAGGACAUUGUCAAAGCCUUUGGCCUCUCAAUUUUGCAGUUUGCUUUGCCAAAAGGAAUAAUCAUUAAUACCAAACUUCAAAUAUUUAUCGUAUCACACCAAACACUGCUUAAAUUACAGUGGAAUGGAGGUCUCUCCUUCUCCCAGUAGAAAAGAGGAUAGAUGGCUUAUAUCAAGGAAACACUGUUCUCUGUACCACACUAUAAGCUGCACUAGUGUCCUGGGAGAGACGUUCAGCCUAGCUUUGCCAUCCAUUGCAAUAUUAAGUUUCCUUGCAAGAAAAGGAAAAUUACUAGGGUUGGAGAAAAGGCUGACAUUUUAUAAAACUCUAAAUAAUCUUGGGGCACUUGGGUGGCUCAGUCAGUUAAGUGUCUUGCCUUCGG